rnacentral:lncRNA from 1 species
CUUUUGUAAUUUAUAAUUUUAAUUCAGCUGAAUGCUGCCUUGAAAAUAAGCUUAAAACCUAUUUCUUAUUAGGCUAUUAAUUGGCUAGGUCUGGUCACUUAACUGAGGCUAAGCUUUUCUCUGCCCUUUAAGUAAAUAUUUCCAGGGCUUAUGGAGCUCUUCUGCUUCUCUAUCAUUGAUGACUUCUCUAUUCUCCUUGCCUUUUGUGAUCUGCAAGUUUUCUGCCACGGCUGGCUCUCCUCUGUUAUCUACUUGUUUGGCCACUUUUGCUUCAUUCCGGUUCACUGUGACAUUGUUCUGAUGGGCUCUUGUCGCAGGGGCUGUUGUUGGGUUGGCUGUUUUAAUGCUCCUUUUGUGCUCCUCAAUCCUGUCUUGGAGGUUUCUGUGCGUCGCUCCUACAUGUGUU